CCUACGGUGGGCAGCAGUGGGGAAUAUUGCGCAAUGGGCGAAAGCCUGACGCAGCGACGCCGCGUGAGGGAUGAAGGUCUUCGGAUCGUAAACCUCUGUCAGCAGGGAAGAACGGUCACUGUGCUAAUCAGCAGUGAAUUGACGGUACCUGCAAAGGAAGCACCGGCUAACUCCGUGCCAGCAGCCGCGGUAAUAAGGAGGGUGCGAGCGUUAAUCGGAAUUACUGGGCGUAAAGCGCUCGUAGGCGGUAUGUCAAGUCAAGGGUGAAAUCCCCGCGCUCAACGUGGGAACUGCCUUUGAAACUGGCCAUCUGGAGUGUGUGAGAGGUAAGUGGAAGUCGAGGUGUAGAAGUGAAAUCCGUAGAUAUCUGGAGGAACAUCAGUGGCGAAGGCGACUAUCUGGCACAUAACUGACGCUGAGGAGCGAAAGCGUGGGUAGCAAACAGGAUUAGAUACCCGAGUAGUC
rnacentral:rRNA from 1 species